AUUGAACGCUGGCGGAAUGCCUUACACAUGCAAGUCGAACGGUAACAGGUCUUCGGAUGCUGACGAGUGGCGAACGGGUGAGUAAUAUAUCGGAACGUGCCCAGUCGUGGGGGAUAACGUAGCGAAAGUUACGCUAAUACCGCAUACGAUCUAAGGAUGAAAGCGGGGGAUCGCAAGACCUCGCGCGAUUGGAGCGGCCGAUAUCAGAUUAGGUAGUUGGUGGGGUAAAGGCCCACCAAGCCAACGAUCUGUAGCUGGUCUGAGAGGACGACCAGCCACACUGGAACUGCGACACGGUCCAGACUCCUACGGGAGGCAGCAGUGGGGAAUUUUGGACAAUGGACGCAAGUCUGAUCCAGCCAUUCCGCGUGCAGGAUGAAGGCCCUCGGGUUGUAAACUGCUUUUGUACGGAACGAAAAGGUUUCUAUUAAUACUGGGAACUCAUGACGGUACCGUAAGAAUAAGCACCGGCUAACUACGUGCCAGCCGCCGCGGUAAUAC
rnacentral:rRNA from 1 species